rnacentral:rRNA from 1 species
AACGAACGCUGGCGGCAUGCCUAACACAUGCAAGUCGAACGAAGGCUUCGGCCUUAGUGGCGCACGGGUGAGUAACGCGUGGGAAACUGCCUAUUGGUGGGGAAUAACGACGGGAAACUGUCGCUGAUACCGCAUAAGCCCUUCGGGGGAAAGAUUUAUCGCCGAUAGAUGUGCCCGCGUCCGAUUAGCUAGUUGGUGAGGUAAUGGCUCACCAGGGCGACGAUCGGUAGCUGGUCUGAGAGGAUGAUCAGCCACACUGGGACUGAGACACGGCCCAGACUCCUACGGGAGGCAGCAGUGGGGAAUAUUGGACAAUGGGCGAAAGCCUGAUCCAGCAAUGCCGCGUGAGUGAUGAAGGCCUUAGGGUUGUAAAGCUCUUUCGGGUGGGACGAUGAUGACGGUACCACCAGAAGAAGCCCCGGCUAACUUCGUGCCAGCCGCCGCGGUAA